AGGGCACCACCAGGAGUGGAGCCUGCGGCUUAAUUUGACUCAACACGGGAAAACUCACCCGGCCCGGACACUGGAAGGAUUGACAGAUUGAGAGCUCUUUCUUGAUUCAGUGGGUGGUGGUGCAUGGCCGUUCUUAGUUGGUGGAGUGAUUUGUCUGGUUAAUUCCGAUAACGAACGAGACUCUAGCCUACUAAAUAGAUCGUCGGCUUACAAACGCCGACGAGACUUCUUAGAGGGACAAACGGUGAUUCAACCGUACGAAACAGAGCAAUAACAGGUCUGUGAUGCCCUUAGAUGUCCGGGGCCGCACGCGCGCUACGCUGAAGUGAUCAGCGUGCAUUUUCAGCCUACUCUGUCAAGAGUGGGAAACCCAAUGAACCUUCUUCGUGAUUGGGAUAGGGGAUUGUAAUUAUUCCCCUUGAGCGAGGAAUUCCCAGUAAGCGCGAGUCAUAAGCUCGCGUUGAUUACGUCCCCUGCCCUUUGUACACACCGCCCGUGCUACUACCGAUUGAAUGUUUU
rnacentral:rRNA from 1 species